GAUGAACGCUGGCGGCGUGCCUAAUACAUGCCAGUCGAGCGAACGGACGAGAAGCUUGCUUCUCUGAUGUUAGCGGCGGACGGGUGAGUAACACGUGGAUAACCUACCUAUAAGACUGGGAUAACUUCGGGAAACCGGAGCUAAUACCGGAUAAUAUUUUGAACCGCAUGGUUCAAAAGUGAAAGACGGUCUUGCUGUCACUUAUAGAUGGAUCCGCGCUGCAUUAGCUAGUUGGUAAGGUAACGGCUUACCAAGGCAACGAUGCAUAGCCGACCUGAGAGGGUGAUCGGCCACACUGGAACUGAGACACGGUCCAGACUCCUACGGGAGGCAGCAGUAGGGAAUCUUCCGCAAUGGGCGAAAGCCUGACGGAGCAACGCCGCGUGAGUGAUGAAGGUCUUCGGAUCGUAAAACUCUGUUAUUAGGGAAGAACAUAUGUGUAAGGAACUGUGCACAUCUUGACGGUACCUAAUCAGAAAGCCACGGCUAACUACGUG
rnacentral:rRNA from 1 species